rnacentral:rRNA from 1 species
AGUGAACGUUGGCGGCGUGGAUUAGGCAUGCAAGUCGAGCGAGAACCGUAGCAAUACGGGGACAGCGGCGAAAGGGACAGUAAUGUGUAGGUACCUACCCCGAGGUCCGGGAUAGCUGCGGGAAACUGCAGGUAAUACCGGAUAAUGUCUUCGGACCAAAGGUGUGAUUCCACCUUGGGAGGGGCCUGCAUCCUAUUAGCUAGUUGGCGGGGUAAUGGCCCACCAAGGCAACGAUGGGUAGCGGGUGUGAGAGCACGACCCGCGUCAUUGGGACUGAGACACUGCCCAGACACCUACGGGUGGCAG